UUGAGCCGGAUGCGGGGAAACUGGCACGUCCGGUUCUUAGGGGGCUAGGGGGCAGUAAUGCCCCCCCUGCUACCCGAC
rnacentral:ncRNA from 1 species